UGGCUCAAGGUCAAGAUAAAAGGACAUUCAACUCAAUUCAACAAUAAGACAAUUUGGAUAAACCCCUAAAAGGAGGAGGAGGGCUACUCCUUCCCCCUUUCCAUUAGUUGUGUACUUGUGUGCCUUUGUCUAGGUUUCACAACAAACUAACUAUAAAUUACAAUAAAGAGCGUGUAUGCUGCUGUCUGUGCUGUGCUAGAAUUGCCUCCACCAUAUCCAUGUGAGUCCAAGACUGCCCUUAACACCAGACUGCCAGUUCGGAAUAGUGGCGGAAGGAGGAUGAGACUAACCAUGCCAGCGUUGUCUAUUCAAUAGCCAAUAUUUCUCCACCCUCCUAUUGUCCUUGCCCAAUGGCCCGACGGGAUAAGAUAAGGACCCUCACCAAACACGACAAUGGCAAUGGCACUGCCAUCCCUUUUAUUUUAUUUUAUUUAUUUUUUUGUUUCUUUUCAAUAAACAAUAUUAUCUACACUAAGGUUAGUGGGGAAGUGGAUUAAACCUCACAAUGGCUA